UAAAUGUAAAUGUAAAUGCUUUGAGGUUAAAGUGGAAGUAUGCAGUCAGUAUAAUCAUACCGUCUCAUUUCUGUUUUUGUGUUUUGUCUUACAGCUUCUCCAGAAGCCACAAAAGAGCUAGCUGAGGAGGCCUCUGAGCCUCAGUCAGUGGCUGACGAAGAGAGUGCCCCGUCCACCCCCCCAGAGGAACCCUCACCAUCUGCGGAACAACCACCAGUGGAACUCCCCUCAGAAACGGAUCUGGAAACCGCAGAGCCGGUCUCGGCUGAAGUACCAGAAGCCCCCUCUGCUCCUGCAGAGAGUGCACCUGCUGUAGAAGCUGAAGGCCCUGAAGUUGUGACCGCUGAAAAACCGUCCACAGAGGGACCAGAGAAGAGUGGU
rnacentral:lncRNA from 1 species